UUUUUAAUUUUUAUCAAUUUAUAUUGAUAAUGUCUUUUGUUCUUUGGUCAAAAUGGUUGACAUUUCAAUACAAGGUUCCUCGCGGGAUUUUUCACAACGAUUACAAAACAAAAAAACGAAAAAACUUAUACAUUAUACAAUUAUUGUCACAAGAAUUUUCACAAACUGCAUAAGUUAAUUGUUAAUUGUAUAGUUGAUUGAUAUGUCCUAAUGAAUAGUGAGAUAUCGAAAUAUAUAACCAAUUGCAUAGCAUAACAAAAUCGUUUAUUUGUGUAAAUCAAUACGAUUUGCAGUAGCCAUCUUAUUAUAUUAUCUAGUUUUUAUUUUUCUCACGUUCGGCUCACAUAAUAAACAAUAUUAUAUUCUAACUAUGCUGUGAAUACAGAUAUUCAAACAACCUAUUUGUACGGGAAAUAUAGUACUUAAAGAAAGUAUAAUGAAAACAGUUACAUAAUGUAAUUUUAUACGAACUUAAACCCGUAGAUGUAAUAAUGCCUCUGUGGAAAAUCCCGAAAAAAUAAGUAUCAUAUUGGAUUUGCUACCCCAAUAAAAUCAUAAAUAAAUAAAUCAAAAGAUCUACUGUUGAAUCAUGGAUUCAAAUUUAUUUCAACUUAAAUAAGCCAAGAUGUUAUCGAAUAAUAAUUCUUCGGGCUUAUGCGAGUUCAAUUUCAAUCCAAUAACAUCCCAAAUUUCUUGCAAUUUACUAGUGCUAUAAAAUGUAUUUUAUUACAUAUACUUCAAUUAGGUACUCUAACAAAUGGGAAUUGUAAUUUGCUCACUAAUCAAGAAGAUUCUCUUUUUAUUUAUUUUCUUCGUUAAAUUGGAAAUAUAAAAGACCAUGUAUGAAACAAGACGAUGAAAAAGAAUCAACCAUUAAAUUACUUAUAGACAAUGUUAGCAAUGAUUCGUUUACCAAAAGAAAAACUAUUACUAAUAAAUGAUCAUUUAUUCUACCAAAAAUGUCUGAUUGUAUAGUUAAAAAACUUAUCCUGGUUUUGCAGUAUCCAAAUUAUAUCAAAAAGUUAUAUUUUUAUAUAUCUUAUAACCAUACUUAUUGUCAAAAAAAUAAAAAUGCAUUGAAGAACUGAAUAAAUGCAAAACAUUGAGAGAGUUUUCAACUAGCAUCUGAAAGUGUUUUCAAAAUCUUCGAACUAAUAUUGAACAUUACGUUAAGUAUGUAUAACUAUUAACUAAAGGCAAUUAUUUAUAAACUAUAUGAAUUAAGAAACAAUGAUGUUGGUCCACUCAAUCGGACAGGCAGACAGAACUGCGUAAAAAAAUAUGUUUGCCUAUUACUAUAGUAAUUUAAGGCAUAUUAAUUUGUAUGAAUUAUUAUAGAAACCUAAGACCUUAAAAAUUCGACAAAAAAAUGUACAUAAAAUAACACGUCAUCCUAUCCGGAACGGUGUUGUCCCAAAGGUUUCAAAAGUCUUUCAAGGCAACCAAUCAGAACGUUAUUUCCUAUGUCUAUCGUAAUUCUAUUGGUUUACGCAAUCAGCAAACGAUCAAUCGCACUCUAUUGCAUACGGCGACUAUAAUGCCACCACACACAAUAAUAUUAUGUUCAGCUUUUCGUAGUCGUCCAUAUCGAUCAAAACCGGAAGUCGUUACUUUGUCAGCGUUUCUUUUAAACUUUGUUCAAACAAUAAAGUCGUGGAAUUCUGAAUCACGCUACAUCCGUAUUGUCAAUCUCCUUGGAAGGAAAUCGUAUUAACACACUCGAAUUAUUGAGACAAGAUGAAUACAAGACGAAAUAAUUUGUUCUAUUACAUGAUUAUUGCAUCGACAUGAAAACUACAAGUUACAACAUCUUGUGAAAAUGUAAUAUCAUUAUAUCAAUAUGAACAUAAUAAUAUAUUGUAAUAUGGUCCAAUAAGUAUACCUAUACUCAAAAAGUCUUAAACCAUAAAAUUAUUGUGUGAUAAUAAUACUAACUGGAGAUUUUUAUAUUUUA